rnacentral:rRNA from 1 species
AGGGUGAGUCGACCCCUAAGGCGAGGCCGAAAGGCGUAGUCGAUGGGAAACAGGUUAAUAUUCCUGUACUUGGUGUUACUGCGAAGGGGGGACGGAGAAGGCUAUGUUGGCCGGGCGACGGUUGUCCCGGUUUAAGCGUGUAGGCUGGUUUUCCAGGCAAAUCCGGAAAAUCAAGGCUGAGGCGUGAUGACGAGGCACUACGGUGCUGAAGCGACAAAUGCCCUGCUUCCAGGAAAAGCCUCUAAGCAUCAGGUAACAUCAAAUCGUACCCCAAACCGACACAGGUGGUCAGGUAGAGAAUACCAAGGCGCUUGAGAGAACUCGGGUGAAGGAACUAGGCAAAAUGGUGCCGUAACUUCGGGAGAAGGCACGCUGAUAUGUAGGUGAAGCGACUUGCUCGUGGAGCUGAAAUCAGUCGAAGAUACCAGCUGGCUGCAACUGUUUAUUAAAAACACAGCACUGUGCAAACACGAAAGUGGACGUAUACGGUGUGACGCCUGCCCGGUGCCGGAAGGUUAAUUGAUGGGGUUAGCGGUAACGCGAAGCUCUUGAUCGAAGCCCCGGUAAACGGCGGCCGUAACUAUAACGGUCCUAAGGUAGCGAAAUUCCUUGUCGGGUAAGUUCCGACCUGCACGAAUGGCGUAAUGAUGGCCAGGCUGUCUCCACCCGAGACUCAGUGAAAUUGAACUCGCUGUGAAGAUGCAGUGUACCCGCGGCAAGACGGAAAGACCCCGUGAACCUUUACUAUAGCUUGACACUGAACAUUGAGCCUUGAUGUGUAGGAUAGGUGGGAGGCUUUGAAGUGUGGACGCCAGUCUGCAUGGAGCCGACCUUGAAAUACCACCCUUUAAUGUUUGAUGUUCUAACGUGGGCCCCUUACCGGGGUUGCGGACAGUGUCUGGUGGGUAGUUUGACUGGGGCGGUCUCCUCCUAAAGAGUAACGGAGGAGCACGAAGGUUGGCUAAUCCUGGUCGGACAUCAGGAGGUUAGUGCAAUGGCAUAAGCCAGCUUGACUGCGAGCGUGACGGCGCGAGCAGGUGCGAAAGCAGGUCAUAGUGAUCCGGUGGUUCUGAAUGGAAGGGCCAUCGCUCAACGGAUAAAAGGUACUCCGGGGAUAACAGGCUGAUACCGCCCAAGAGUUCAUAUCGACGGCGGUGUUUGGCACCUCGAUGUCGGCUCAUCACAUCCUGGGGCUGAAGUAGGUCCCAAGGGUAUGGCUGUUCGCCAUUUAAAGUGGUACGCGAGCUGGGUUUAGAACGUCGUGAGACAGUUCGGUCCCUAUCUGCCGUGGGCGCUGGAGAACUGAGGGGGGCUGCUCCUAGUACGAGAGGACCGGAGUGGACGCAUCACUGGUGUUCGGGUUGUCAUGCCAAUGGCACUGCCCGGUAGCUAAAUGCGGAAGAGAUAAGUGCUGAAAGCAUCUAAGCACGAAACUUGCCCCGAGAUGAGUUCUCCCUGACUCCUUGAGAGUCCUGAAGGAACGUUGAAGACGACGACGUUGAUAGGCCGGGUGUGUAAGCGCAGCGAUGCGUUGAGCUAACCGGUACUAAUGAACCGUGAGGCUUAACCUU